GGUGUAGGCGGUGAAGUAAGUCGGAUGUGAAAUCCCAGGGCCCAACCCUGGAACUGCAUUCGAAACUGCUCCACUAGAGCCCCGGAGGGGAAGGCGGAAUUCCCGGUGUAGAGGUGAAAUUCGUAGAUAUCGGGAGGAACACCAGUGGCGAAGGCGGCCUUCUGGACGGUGACUGACGCUCAGACCCGAAAGCGUGGGGAGCAAACAGGAUUAGAUACCCUGGUAGUCC
rnacentral:rRNA from 1 species